GAUGGACGCUGGCGGCGUGCCUAAUACAUGCAAGUCGAGCGAACAGACGAGGAGCUUGCUCCUCUGACGUUAGCGGCGGACGGGUGAGUAACACGUGGAUAACCUACCUAUAAGACUGGGAUAACUUCGGGAAACCGGAGCUAAUACCGGAUAAUAUAUUGAACCGCAUGGUUCAAUAGUGAAAGACGGUUUUGCUGUCACUUAUAGAUGGAUCCGCGCCGCAUUAGCUAGUUGGUAAGGUAACGGCUUACCAAGGCAACGAUGCGUAGCCGACCUGAGAGGGUGAUCGGCCACACUGGAACUGAGACACGGUCCAGACUCCUACGGGAGGCAGCAGUAGGGAAUCUUCCGCAAUGGGCGAAAGCCUGACGGAGCAACGCCGCGUGAGUGAUGAAGGCCUUCGGAUCGUAAAACUCUGUUAUUAGGGAAGAACAAAUGUGUAAGUAACUAUGCACGUCUUGACGGUACCUAAUCAGAAAGCCACGGCUAACUACGUG
rnacentral:rRNA from 1 species